CCUACGGGUGGCAGCAGUGGGGGAUAUUGCACAAUGGGGGGAACCCUGAUGCAGCGACGCCGCGUGGGUGAAGAAGCGCCUCGGCGCGUAAAGCCCUGUCAGCAGGGAAGCAAAUGACGGUACCUGUAGCAGAAGCCCCGGCUAACUCCGUGCCAGCAGCCGCGGUCAUACGUAGGCGGCAAGCUUUAUCGGGAUUGAAGGGGGGUAAAGGUGGCGCAGACGGCGAUGCAAGCCAGGAGUGAAAGCCCGGGGCCGAACCCCGGGACUGCGCGUGGAACUGCGUGGCUGGAGUGCAGGAAGGGCAGGCGGAAUUCCUGGGGUAGCGGUGAAAGGCGGAGAUAUCAGGAGGAACACCGGUGGCGAAGGCGGCCUGCUGGACUGCAACUGACGUUGAGGCCCGAAAGCGUGGGGAGCAAACAGGAUUAGAGACCCUAGCAGUC
rnacentral:rRNA from 1 species